UUUAGUAGUUGAUAGGUGUGUUUGGA
rnacentral:piRNA from 1 species